AUUGAACGCUGGCGGCAGGCCUAACACAUGCAAGUCGAACGAGUGGCGGACGGGUGAGUAAUGUCUGGGAAACUGCCUGAUGGCGGGGGAUAACUACUGGAAACGGUAGCUAAUACCGCAUACCAUCGGAUGUGCCCAGAUGGGAUUAGCUAGUAGGUGGGGUAAAGGCUCACCUAGGCGACGAUCCCUAGCUGGUCUGAGAGGAUGACCAACCACACGGGGACUGAGACAAGGGCCAGACUCCCAAGGGAGGCAGGAGUGGGGAAGUUUGGAAAAUGGGGGCAAGCCUGAUGCAGCCAACGCGCGUGGAUGAAGAAGGCCUUCGGGGUGUAAAGUACUUUUGGCAGGGAAGCGGUAUCCGCAAAAGAAGCACCGGCUAAAUACGUGCCAGCAGCCGCGGUAAUAC
rnacentral:rRNA from 1 species